CAGCCGCCGCGGGAAUACGUAGGUGGCAAGCGUUGUCCGGAAUUAUUGGGCGUAAAGGGCUCGCAGGCGGUUUCUUAAGUCUGAUGUGAAAGCCCCCGGCUCAACCGGGGAGGGUCAUUGGAAACUGGGAAACUUGAGUGCAGAAGAGGAGAGUGGAAUUCCACGUGUAGCGGUGAAAUGCGUAGAGAUGUGGAGGAACACCAGUGGCGAAGGCGACUCUCUGGUCUGUAACUGACGCUGAGGAGCGAAAGCGUGGGGAGCGAACAGGAUUAGAUACCCCGGUAGCCCUGUCUCUUAUACA
rnacentral:rRNA from 1 species